rnacentral:rRNA from 1 species
AGUGAACGCUGGCGGCAGGCCUAACACAUGCAAGUCGAGCGGCAGCGCGUCCGACCACCCUCGGGUGGUCGGAUGGCGGCGAGCGGCGGACGGGUGAGGAAUGCAUCGGAAUCUGCCUCGUUGUGGGGGAUAACGUAGGGAAACUUACGCUAAUACCGCAUACGACCUACGGGUGAAAGUGGGGGACCGUUCGGGCCUCACGCGAUGAGAUGAGCCGAUGCCGGAUUAGCUAGUUGGCGGGGUAAAGGCCCGACCAAGGCGACGAUCCGUAGCUGGUCUGAGAGGAUGAUCAGCCACACUGGAACUGAGACACGGUCCAGACUCCUACGGGAGGCAGCAGUGGGGGAAUAUUGGACAAUGGGGGCAACCCUGAUCCAGCCAUUCCGCGUGAGUGAAGAAGGGCCCUGGUUGUAAAGUCGUCUUUCGGUCGACGGAACGGAAA